rnacentral:misc_RNA from 1 species
AACGGUCUAUACCUGCGGUACCUGCGUAAGGAUCAUUAAUGAGAAACUGCCCCUCGCGGGUAGAUCUCCCACCCUUUGUAAACUUACCUUUGUUGCUUUGGCAGGCCCGUCUCCGGACCGCCGGCUUCGGCUGGCCAGUGCCUGCCAGAGGAUUCUAAAACUCUGUCUGUCAGUGUUGUCUGAGUCUAUAUACAAUCGUUAAAACUUUUAACAACGGAUCUCUAGAUCGGAAGAGCACAC